rnacentral:misc_RNA from 1 species
GAAAUGCGAUAAGUAAUGUGAAUUGCAGAAUUCAGUGAAUCAUCGAAUCUUUGAACGCAUCUUGCGCUCCUUGGUAUUCCUUGGAGCAUGCCUGUUUGAGUAUCAUGAAAUCUUCAAAGUAAAUCUUUUGUUAACUCAAUUGGUUUCUACUUUGGUAUUGGAGGUCUUUGCAGCUUCACACCUGCUCCUCUUUGUUCAUUAGCUGGAUCUCAGUGUUAUGCUUGGUUCCACUCGGCGUGAUAAGUUAUCUAUCGCUGAGGACACUGUAAAAGGUGGCCAAGGUAAAUGCAGAUGAACCGCUUCUAAUAGUCCAUUGACUUGGGCAAUAUUUUUAUGAUCUGAUCUCAAAUCAGGUAGGACUACCCGCUGAUCUUAAGC